CCGGCCCUACGACGUGAUGCGCGCCGCCUGGCACGCCGACCCCGCGCAGCGGCCCACGUUCGCCGCCACGCGCCGCACGCUCGCCGCCAUCCAAGACCAGGCGCUCGCCCAGGACCACCCGGUCAGUCUACUGUAGUGUGUAGUGCGCCCCCCCCCCCGGCCCUACGACGUGAUGCGCGCCGCCUGGCACGCCGACCCCGCGCAGCGGCCCACGUUCGCCGCCACGCGCCGCACGCUCGCCGCCAUCCAAGACCAGGCGCUCGCCCAGGACCACCCGGUCAGUCUACUGUAGUGUGUAGUGCGCCCCCCCCCGCCCCCCGGCCCUACGACGUGAUGCGCGCCGCCUGGCACGCCGACCCCGCGCAGCGGCCCACGUUCGCCGCCACGCGCCGCACGCUCGCCGCCAUCCAAGACCAGGCGCUCGCCCAGGACCACCCGGUCAGUCUACUGUAGUGUGUAGUGCGCCCCCCCCCGCCCCCCGGCCCUACGACGUGAUGCGCGCCGCCUGGCACGCCGACCCCGCGCAGCGGCCCACGUUCGCCGCCACGCGCCGCACGCUCGCCGCCAUCCAAGACCAGGCGCUCGCCCAGGACCACCCGUGAGCGGCCGGACGGCGCUAGUAAAUAUAUAACUUAGACUCUACAUCCAUUCUCACACAGGAUUAGGUAAAGUGCUGUGAAGUUGCAAAAUGUAUUUUAAAAAUAACCUAUAGUUAAGUACUAAAUUAUUUUGAUAUUAUGUUUAAAGACACUUCCUCAUGAAGUAUUUCUAAUCUAGUUUAGGUAGCGUGUAAAAUUGGUGUGUUAUAGAGGGAAAAUUGACCGAGUUUAGUAUUAUGUGUACUAUUAUGUUUUAUUUUUAUUUGAGGCCUAAAUGCGUAACGAAUUAUUACGGUAAAGAUUCCACCCAUUAUGGACCGCCGUUCGGUUGUUUGUCGGUACUAUGCUACUGUCUAGUCAAAUAAACGUUUUGUAAUAGUGUUUGUAUCAUAAUUAUAAUUUCCACAGGAAACCGAUAAGACGACUGAUAACGUUAAAGCGAGAAACUAAACUACUGCAUGCACUUCAACUAUAAACCUUGCUAUAGGCGCAAAAAUGCAGGAGUUAUGUAUUUUUCGGAAGAUUUAAUAGCUACAAAAUGAUUAAUUCAUAUAAUAUAUAAUGUACCCCAGUGAUGAGUGUAGAUCCAUUAGUGUUUAGUUUUUCUGAUGAUUUUACACAAUUAGCUAAUUUGGUAAAGUGCAGUUUAGAGUGAGAAUACACAUGAGAGCGCGCGAAGCGCUGCCUAACUACUUACUGUAUGCAGUUUAGGAAAUGUGCGUUAGUGAUUAAUUGUAAUGUAAUGCAUUGGUUUGCACUUUGUCUAGUAGCUCGGUAAGAUAAUGCUUUAGUCAUAAAGCGAAAAGUUGCAGCGGCCAACUUUCAGGUUGUGCUAUUAUAAAAUUGAUAGUAUAUGUAUGUACACAAAAGGUUGAUUUUGCGAUGUAUAAGAUAAAUGUAAUAGAGAUAUAUUGAUUAUGAGAUAAAUUAAACGGUGUAUUGUCCACGAUUUUGAAUCUCAUGUAGAGUGCUGUCAGAUUAUAACUAAAUGGAUAGUUUGUGAUAUGUUUUAUGUAAUAAUGUCUAAGCUGGUGCAUGUCUUACGAUUCCACCCGAACGCCAGUUUUAAUGUUUGCAGUGGCCAUAUUAUAUCAUGUAUGAGUGUGAUUAGAUUGGAACUUUAAUGGGACUUAUACAAUGUAUUUCCAUUUUGAAUUCGUUUCCGCGACUAACAUUCUGAAAGCUGAACACUACAUUCAUGGCAAAUUUGUUUCCAAAUAUUAUAGACAAAUAAAUGCUAAGGCGAACAACGUGCGGGAAAAUAUUGUAGAAGUUUUGUCUGCCACGACAUCAUACAAUGCGGUAACUAGGUUGUCAAGUGCUUAUAGUUACCACAACCCAUAUGGCGACCUAAAAGGCCAUAUAGUUCUGCGGUCAAACUAACUUCUUCGCAAUUUUUCACCACUUUAUCCGUAUUAGUAUUCUUUUAUGCAAAUACUUAUUCCGUUUCUGAGAUAAGACAUUAAUUAUUUUAUUAUUAAAGUAUAUGUUGACUGUGAGUAGCCACUCGCUGCACAAACUGCAUCACAAUAUCGCAUUUAGCUGCACCCGCACUGAUAUAACAUAUGUCUAUGUUGCACCAUUUAUGCCUGGAAAGCGAUGCAUUUAUUUAUGUUUUCUCAUUAAACUGAAAGCAUGAAAAACUGCAGCUCAUCUAUUUAAACUUUCAUUAUGCAAUACUAGUUUUAAGUGUUAAAUUGUUUAUUACGAUUUAUUAUUUAUGACGCCUUUGAAAAUUGAGGGACGGUCGGCAGAAGAGUUUUUUUUUCUACCAAAGUAUAUUCUAUGUAUUUUGAAAGAAAACGUGAACUAUGUUCCCGCUAGCUAGAGUCUUCCUUUAUCGGUAAUUAUUAUAAUUUCUCGUACAAGUGCACUAGUCUAAAGGGUUAUUUCGUUGUAAGCCUAACGACUGUCGUGGUGUUCGUGUUGUAUAUUGUUUCCGUGUGCAUUACGUAUUUGAACAAGAGAAUACAAAUCUCAAGUUGUUUUUAUUACUGUACUUUUAUUUUCACUGUAAAUACAUAAUAUUAAGGGAUAAAGUAUAUGUAUAAUAACAGAAUAUAAAUUCACUCAACAUC